rnacentral:rRNA from 1 species
UACGAAGGGGGCAAGCGUUGUUCGGAAUUACUGGGCGUAAAGGGCGCGUAGGCGGCUUACCAAGUCAGGCGUGAAAUUCCCGGGCUCAACCUGGGGGCUGCGCUUGAUACUGGUGAGCUGGAAUGCGGGAGAGGAUAGUGGAAUUCCCAGUGUAGAGGUGAAAUUCGUAGAUAUUGGGAAGAACACCGGUGGCGAAGGCGGCUAUCUGGCCCGUAAUUGACGCUGAGGCGCGAAAGCGUGGGGAGCAAACAGG